rnacentral:lncRNA from 1 species
GAUCUGGAUCUCGACCUUAAAAGACAAUUGUUUACAGCUCAGGGAAAAGUUCAAAAAUCAAGGGUAUCAUAUUUGGUGGCAAAGGAAAAAAGCAAGAGGAAGGAGAACAAUAAUGACCAUGGGAAGUCAGUGGUUGGAACAUGAUGUAUGAACGUUCUUAAGCAUCGAAACUUCAGGAGUUCAAUCUGAUAUUGGAUUCAGUUGUUUGAGUCUGUUCAAGAGUUCACGUGAAGUACUAGUAUUCGAUUAUUGUAGGCAAUCUAUGUUAAGAAUUAGCAACCUCUUAAUCCCAAGUCCGUCAUGUUGGUGUCAUUAUUUUUGUGGCCCAGGGUGCAGGCAUUAAUUCUUGUUGCUGAAUUAAUUAUGCAUGGAGACCAUUGCUUGUAACUUUCUCCUUUUCUUUCCUAGACUUAACUCUAACUUUUCUUUGACGAGGAGAGAUAUAUGCAGCAACGAGACCAUCACAUGAUAAGAAUAUUUCAUUGUAAUUGCAUAGAUUGGUCGGUCGGUUGGUGAGUGGGGUCCACAACAAAACUAAUUCUUCUCAUGGUCCGGCAAAGGUCUAAAGGUCUAGGUGAUGCAUUCCUCGUCUUCUUUAGAAUGGACCUGUCAUAAUAUCUGAUCGAUUUGUAAUUAACUAAGUCUAGCCAAAGAACAUGGCAUAAGUCAUUUGCGGCCAUAGCUACGUCUGGCCUUAUUUGUACCCACACGAAGCUGGUGCCAUAUAAUCUUGGAUUGGAUUUUUUUUUUUUUUUUAAUACUUGUAAUGAUGGUUAUACAAAACCUUAAAUUAUGUACAACCACUCAAAUCAAUCACUAUAAUAUCUCGGAAGUAUCCGGAUAUAGCAGAAGAAGCCUCCAAAUAUAGUGCUAUCAUGAUUGACCACUUAAAUAGCAAUCCAAUCAACAUUAUUAUUAAUUUUUUUAUAGAUACGCAUGAGCCUUCAAAUAUCUGCUCGCAAAGAAUGACCACCCCUAAGUGCUCUGCUUCUGUGCCAUUUUAUGACUAUGAGAUAAGUAUAGAGUCCCCUUCCACACUUAAACUGGCAUAAGCCCUGUCUUCAUCCGAGUCGCGUCACUCGGCGGUCCUUAGAGUAUCUACCACCUUCGAGGUCCUCAAUUUACUUGCUUAUUUGCAGUGUUUUAGAGCUCAGAGCAAUGCGAAUCGUGCACUCAGCCAAAGUUCAGCGGAGGACGAGACCACGGGCACCACGUCAUUCACGUGAGGGACGCGGACAACAGGGCGGGAGAUCUGGACCAUUCGUUGAGAGAAUGGACGGCCUGGAGCUGAUCCGGCUCGGGUCUCCGACCCAGAGCUGGGACCACGCUUGGAUGCGGCAGGGCUCGCUCACAACAUACCUACUGAUCGAAUUAAUUAAUCGAAAUAGACCAACGGCUUUCACCGAGCGCAGCGAAGUCACUGAAACGCCACCGUAGAGGCGACCGGUGGGAUGGAAUUUUAGCUAACUUCCAUAUGGAUGGAGAGUUAUCACAUUUUACUCAGAUUUCUCACUGCAAAGUAACAUCACAUCAUGUGGAAUAAUUUGGAUGAGUAGAAAAAUAUGUAUUUGUGCUUCAAUUACCUAUGCAUCUAUUAGAAUUUAUAUAUAUAUAUAUUUUGGACCUAGCCCGUACACUCCGUGAUAUCCAUUGACUAAAUAUUUUUGUUUGUUGUUUUAAAGAAAGGAAUCGAAUGAUGAUGCAUAGACAAGUCUACUAUAAAAUAUAGAGGAUAAAACAAAGACGUGAUGGGCUCUAGAUUCUUGGGGACUACAAUAAAUUUAGCCAGCCAAUGUCAAAAAUUCCAAAGUAUUUAAAAAAUAUGUAAAUUAACAUCAAUUAUUUGUUAAUUAACAUCAUCUUAUCUUUAUUUUAAGUCAUGACGCCUGAAAAGUUCAGAAACGCUGCAUCUCGACAGGAUUUACCAUUAACAUAUGAUAGCCUUUUGAGAUCCAGCUGGAACAAGUAGAGCCUUUGCUCUCCGAUACCAAUCUCUCUUAUCAAAUACCUUACAUGUAACAUCUUUAGACAUUAUUGGGAAACAACAGUCAAGCACAUAACAAAUAUGUCACCUUUCAUCUCAAUACAUUAUGAGAAGCAAAAAAAAAAAAAAGAACCCUUUGAUUUUGUGUUUCGCUAAACUCCACUUGGAGUACAAACCUCCAUCCUCGCAUAUUUCCUUCAUCCAUUUUUAAUAUAAUUAAGUAACCGGAACAAGAGCUACAUGGAGAUGAGAAGAAGUUUUGAUUCGAACUGCACCUAGAUUUCCGGCGAUAAAAUCUAUCCCAUGGGAACAAAAUUUCAAAUCCAGUAAUCCCAAAACCACGACUCUAAGCUUUCUUAAGCCAUCUCCACUUACAAAAUUCCCAAAAGAAGACAAAUAUAUAUAUAUAUAUAUAUAAUAUAGCUCCGAAAUUCCCAACAUACCCCUCGUGAAGCAAUUAUUUUCUGUUACUCCUCGUCUGCCUGGGUGCUCCGCUGCUGCUGCCUCGACGAGCAUAACGGGAAGAGCGGGAGGAGCUCCGGCGGGUCCGAUCCCCGGCCGCCGUCCCGCGGCGAGGGGUGGAGAUAAAACCCCUUCUCCGCGAUCGCCCGCUCCUCUUCCGACGCGGGCGAGAACAGCGGGUCCGACCCCAGGGGGGUUACAGGACUCGGGACUGGAGACUUCAAGGAGCCAGCGGCGGGAGAGGAGGAGGCGGAGGAGGGAUGGUGGAUGUGGUGAUGGUGGAGCUGGGGCGGGGGGGAACGGGGAGAGCGAACAGAGGUGAGGCCGAGCUGGAUCUCGAGCUUGCGGAUGCUCGGGCCGCGGCGCUCCUGCAGCUUGAAGGGCUGCCGUCGGGGAGCGACGGCGGUCGGCGAAGUCCGCGCCGGGGAGGUUGCGGGGAGGUCUCCGGCGGCGGUGGCGCCGGUGAGGCGCUGGACCAGGUCGCGGAAGGUGUUGGCAUCGGCCUGAACGUAGGUGGUGGGCGGCCCCGCCGCAGCGGUGGCGGGUCUGGUGUUAGCCGGCCUCUCCAUAGUUUUCUCUCUUAAGGGUUUGAAGUUUAAUAAAUAUAUAUAGAGAAAAAUAGGGGUGGGAUGGGAAGAAAAGGUUUACAGAGUGAUCGGAAAUAACCGAAGAGCGAAGGGUUUAUGAAAGAGAGAGGUGGGACUGGGAGGUGGGUAGUCACGGGAGCUCGUAUUUUCGGGGCUUUUUCCCCCUCCUUUCCCUCCCUCUCCGCUGGGUUCGUGCGUAAGAACAUGGAAGAGGGUAGAGAAGAGCGUCUUGGUGUAUGGUUUUUGUGAGGAAGGGUUGGGACUUGAGGGAUUUUGUGUGAGUUGGGUGAUCCCAUCACCGCUUGGUACUUUCACCUGUGCUUAGAUUUUUUUUUUGCCCCCCUCAUCUUGAAAUUGUUCGAAAUAAAUAUUUAUAGGAUAAAACGUCAAGAAUUUAUAUGAGAAAAUAAAUCUGAAAAAAUAAUGUAUAAGAAAAGAAUUAGAAACCUAGAAAACCUGUAUUGAAGACAUGCUAGAUAUUAUUCCAAGAGGUUAUUACUACUCUAAGAUCGAUAGCUUUAAUAUUGCUACUAAGAUACAACUGAUCCUCGGCACUGCAAGAGCAUCUGGAAGAUUUGGCCUGAUAGACUGUUUCAAUUACCCAAAAUUAAUUUUUGUAAAUUUAUAAAAAUAAGAAAAAAAAAUAAUGGUAAUAGAACUAGUGGAAAAGUAGACGAGUCAAGAAUAGUCAAAACAUAGCAGAAAAGAUGAGAGUGGGAGAUGGCUAUGCAGGAAGAGAGAGCUUUUUAAUCUGUAGCAUUGAAAGUGUGGACCAUGGGCUUUAUUUAGAAAUUGAUCAAAUAACAACUCUAAUGGCUAGUUGUUGGCACAUAAAGGGUGCAAUAAGUAUCUAGGGAGGUUAUUAGGCAUUAUAUGGUGACGGAGAUUGUUAUUACGUAUUUUUUUAUUUUUUUUAUUAUUUUCUAUAGCACGAAAGAAUUGAUCUACAUCGUCAAUUGAUGGGAGUAUUAUGGAUAAUAAUAGGUUAAGGUUGACAACUAGUUUUAUAUUUUUAUAUUUUAUUUUCAAUUUUAGCCGGAUCCUCGCCAAUAGAAUCUUAAGGAAUCUCUUGAUCUCUCCUUCACGCUCAAUUUUUUGAUGAUGAAUAAACUGAUUCUUAAAGAUGAGUCUUACACGACUAAUACUGCGAUAGAAAUCGAAUAGCGGCAAAACUCCAAAGCCUUCAAUAGUUAUUGAUCCCAAGCUAGGAUUUUCGAAAUUUGUAUUUUAAUUAGGUCCAUCUCAAGAGCGGAUGAAAACCUAUGGUGUGGAACUACAUAUUCAGCACCAUCUCUGCUGCUAAAUGUGUUAUCUACUAACAAAAGAUGAUGAGCUUGAGAAAUGCACCAUCAUGAUGGAGGAGGCACGAAUAAGAAUAGAGGGAUAGAAGAGCAACAAAGCAUUGUCAUGUAUGAGAAUAUGAAAGUCAGUACAAUAGAGACGAGAGAGUCAUAAACAAUAGUGGGGUGAAAGAAGGGGUCCUGGCUAGGUGGGGGUGGAGAUAGAAGGCAGAGUUGUCAAUAAGAGAGGUAGAAAAGAUAAAAAGUAAGAGAGAUAAAUUUGAAAAUAUGAGAUUUUGAAUUUAAUUGUAAUAAAUAAAAUAUAGUAAUAUAUACUACUAGUUAUCCGGUCAUUCACCUCAAGCUAUUCAAUUUUAAACAGAGACUAGAUAUAUGAAAUGGUAUGGAAAAAAAAAAUACACCAUAACAAAGUCCAUGCUAUUAUUAUUUCCUUUUAAUGGCUAAUGUGAUCAUCCAGGCCUUUCCAAAAGCUAGCUUAAUAAAUAUUGUGAUCAAAAUUAAUUUAAACAUAAAAAUAGAUAUCAAAAUAAUUUUGAAACUAUGCAAAAUAAUUAAAAGCAAAAGUCAAGUUUCCACACAUGGGCAUCCUAAAAGUCCACGUAUUCAACUAAUAACCCCUAGUUAGAAAAAUAUUAAAUGCAACUCUACUCGCAUCAAUUUAUCAAAUAUGGUACUAAAGACUACUAAACGUGUUAGGACAAAUGCUUUAAUGAUCGAACCAUUCCAACCAAAAAUCAGAAAGAUAUUUAAAUAAUUAAAUGUUAUCUUACACAUCUAGCCAUUUGAUGACUAGAUCUGCAUAUCUAGCAAACAACAGAACUAAAAAAAAGAAAAUUCUCUGAUAUGAUAGAACAACUAAUCAUCAUCACAAACUGCAGUUAUGAGACAAGAUAGGAUCAGUGCCUAAAUUAUCGUGGCUGGGGUUGUUUGUACAAGUUAAUUGCUGGGGAACCAAUGGGAAUCAUAUAGUCCAAAUCCCAAACUCAGCGACAAGAUUUCAAUGAUAUCGUACUCCAUUGCACUGGACCCUCAACUAUUAUAGGAUCUCUUAUUUACUUACCAUUUAAGCUAAGACAAUGAUUGUUAUAAAAUUAUUAUAAUAAAAAAUAUUGAGCUACAAUACGUAAUUAAAAAUAUUAUUUUUCUCAUUUACUAUUUAUUGACUGAAAAUGCUUUAAAUAUUACAAUCUAUUUUAAGCAAAGAUAUAAUGUAAAAAAAUAAAUUUCAGAAGAAAAAAUAUUUUAUUAGAAAAAAGUACAAAUGGAAAUAGCAAUUUUUUUUUUGUUGUGACAGUGUAUUAUCCUUGGUCCUACUAUUCUCCUCCUCCACCUCAUCAUCAUCAUCAUUACAUUAUUAUUAUUAUUAUUAUUAUUAUUAUUAUUAUUAUUAUUAUUAUUAUUUAAGUUUUAUAUAUAAAUCAAAAUAAAAAGUCUGAAACUAUUAUAAUAGUUGUUGUAAUCUUUUUCUUUUUUUUUAUUAGGAGGGGCUAUUAUCUCCGUUCCUUUUAUUUUGUACUCAUCCCAUUUUUGAUGGUUAAGCCCAUCCAAAAUCAAGCCCUUGACCUCUUGCCCAAGUGGCCAGAUGGAGCAAGUGCUUGAAUGUGGCCAUUAUAACAUAUGGAAAUUAUUAUUGUAACCAUGCUCGGUUGGGAUGCCACCUUCCGUCAGGCCUAAGACAAGGGAUGAGACAUUUGUCCCAUCUUUAUCUCUAGAAUAAAUACCAAAUAGAUCAAAAAAUGGGAUGGGACUUUUUUUUUUCGUAAGCACUGGGGUGGAUCUAUUGAUCUCUAACAUUUCCAUCAAAACAAGGACCAUGAAUUAGGGUUAUCCUCAUUUUUGUUCCAGCUAAAACAAAGAGAAAAAAACUUUUUUGCAAGUACUAAAUAUAAGGAGGAGGGCAAUUUUGUCCUUUUAACCAAAAAUAAGUUUUUAGGUAGGAUAACAAAAAAUAAUUAUUAUAAUGUCAAAGGUAGUAUAAUGAAAUAUAAUCAUGAAAUGGAGAUAAAAACGAUUCAUUCAAAUAAAAAAUAAUCUUAUGCUGGAGAUAAUGUUACCUAUUGGUGAUCAAACAUCUUAUUACCCAAUUGUUUAUCUCUUUAAUGAAGAAGGUUCAAAGGAUCUAAUUUUCAUCUUUUUGAACUAGCUAAAAUAUAGAUGGGAAUCUUAUAUCCUUAUCAUGAGUAGCAUAGAAUUGCUCAAAAUCUCAAAUCGCAACAACAAUGUGUGUGUGCGUGUGUGUUUCUUCCUUCUCUUCUUUGAUGUGUUUUAAAGAGUAUUGCAUUUGCAAACAAACGUUUGAAAAAUGUGACACAUCAUUUAUUAGUUUUUCAAUAAAAAUGACCAAGCACUAAAUUAGCUGCAAACGUGCUCAUAUUAAGUAGCAGUUCUUGGUUUUCCCCUAUAAACAUGGCUCAUUUUUUUGUUAAUAGGGCCAAACUAGCAUUCUAAUAGUUUUUCUGGUUGAGUUCAGAUCUUCUGAUGUUUAUGUUUAAACUGGAGUGGUCUAGUUUAGGUCACCAGACAUUAAUGUAUUUUGCAAUUAUUGGUGGUCGUACAAAAUCUUGGUAUACGUAUUUCCAAUCGUUCAUUGUUGCAUGAUACCUGAUGAUGGGUGAUUGAACAGGACCCCUCCAAUUAUUGGAGAUGGUUCGAGUUAUUUCUCGUAGGUUUUCUUAUCAGCGAAGUCAUUGCUUGAUUAGCUAGCUUACAUGUGGAAAGUUUGCUUUGAUGUUAAUAAUCACAAACUAUCAAUCAAUUUAUUGAGUGAUAAUUCAAUCAAAAACGUUUCACAUCCAUCCUAUGUGGUGGGGAAUGAGAUUCUCUAUGGCAUUUAAAAAAUAUCAUACAUGAUUAGGUGUCAUACAUCAUAAAAUUGACAGCUAUUCAAAAUAUCCAAAUAUUUUUGGGUUUAUACAUUUCUUUCUUUUUAAUUUUUUCUAACGUGUGCGCAUGCGGUCGUCCAUCUUAAAAUAGAUGAUGUCCAACCAUGCAUAAUAUUUUAUGGUAUUUUUUAAGUACUGCAGAGAAUCUACACCCAUGUGAUGAAGCAAGUUUAAGAAUCAAAUCAUGUUAUUAUGGAACAUUUAGUUAUUUCCUCCCUAGUAAUCUCGUAAAUGGACUGUCCCAAAUUUGAUAAAAGAAUGCCCGGAUGUUAGCUCGAAACUUUGAUCACACAGUUCUGAUUAGCUCUUUCUAAAAAGGAAGAAGUGAUCCGUUAGCGAGGAGCUAAGCUACGGAACAAUAAGAUCUAUCAGCAUGUAUAAUGCUGUCAAGAAGUAAGCAGUUUAUUUUAAUUUAGUUUCUAAGCAGGCAGCUUAUUUUUCUAAAACUAGAAGUAGAAUCAUACUCAAUACACUAUCUUCUAGUCCUCGAUGACAUAUCGGCUCACUCUAAUGUGUCUCUUUAUGUCAAUAUAUAUUAUAUAUAUAUAUAUAUAUAUAUAUGGUAUAUUGGCAUUGGUAUUUAUGAUGAGGUAAGUCAGAACUCUCAGUGCUAAGAUUUUGCUGAAUCCUUUCAGCUCUCUUCAUUGAAAGAAAUAAUAGUCUUCACUCAAUUCUUCCAAAGUCUUCUUUCUUGCUUUUCAGCAUUUCUAUUUCUACUAUUGAUUUUCAAGAUCCCGACUGAUUUAAUCAUCAGAAAGUAUUCCAUCAGAUCCAGGACUUCUUUUACAGAAUUUUUUAUGCACUUCACCAAACUGCAUUUAGAAGUACUCAACCGACCUUAUCAUCUAUCUUCUGGAGCCUUGCGACAUCACAAUGAUAUUUUUAAAAUUUUAUUUACAUGAUUUCUAUUUUCAAUGAUGUUUUACAAAUAUAAUCUUUUGGAUGUAAAAGUCAUCUAAUUAUAGGGGAUUCAAGUAGUGCUCAAUUUUAUCUUUUUUAAACUCAUCCAAAUAAAAUUUAGGAAGCAUAAUUUCUAGAAUAUGAUAUCAAAGUACCAAUAAAACUUUUCAAAUGGCCUCUCAAGGAGAAAAGUAUACAAAAAAGUUCUGAAUAGAAGGAGUCAAAAGUGAUAUUUUGAUAUAAAAUGCUCCAUUUCUUUUGAACUUUAUUAUUUUAUUUUAUUUUAUUUUAUUUUAUUUUAUUUUAUUUGAGAUUUCAAUUCUUUGGUCUAGUUGACCUGAGUUCUUUGCUGCACCAUGAGCUUGUGACCAUUCUCAAAACUCCAAAUUCUCUAACUCAUGCUCACGAUAUACAACACAAGUAUUGGUAAGUCGUUAAUCGUAAUUCUCUCAAUGUUACCGAAAGAACUAGUCCCGGCAUUAGCAUUGCUAGGGCUAGCUCAAAGGACCGGUUCAAAAAUAAUGCAUGCAAUGUUACGUAUAAACCCUUAUAUAAUGUAAAUAUUACAUUAUUACCAAGUUCUUCUGCGCAUGGUGCACGGACCUCUUAAUCCUGGUCCGUCCGUUGGACGGUCACUAUACUGUUCCCACCCUUUUGGCUAAUCGAACACCAUAUUUUCUCUCCUCCGCCGCUAGAACCACAAUGCGAUACGAUCCUUCGCGGGACAGCGGCAUCCGAGUCCGUCAACUGGUGGAAGGCGAAUAAGAAAAGAAGAGAGCGAAGCCGGAGAGCGGCAACCCCAAUGGCGAUUUCCUGCUGUUCCUCUCCCAAAUCCCUUCUCCCGUCUCUUCCUCUCAGAGGGCGAGGACGAAGAGGAGACCGCGCCGCCCCUUCCAGAAUCUUCUGGAAGGCGCCCGAGCCCGUCGUCAGGGCGUCCACGGUCGAUUCCUUCGAGAGCUCCGCCAGCUUCGCCAAGCGGAUGGAGCGGGCGUGGCUCAUCUCUCAGGUAUCAUCCCCUCUCUUUAUAUCUCGUUCCUGGUUCUAAGGUUCUUGUUUGGAUCGCGUUUAUUGGAAAAAAGGAGAGAUUUUAUGUGUUUGAUGUGGUUUUUAAUGUUCUCUAUCUUGAUUGAAAGAUCUAGGGUACCUCAUUUGAUAAAUCCUAUUGGACUUAAAAUUUUCAGAAAGAAACAAAUUUGUGGUAUAAUCCAGUCGAGUAUAGCAAUAUGAUAGGGUUAAGAAGUUUACGUGGAGGUUCAUCGAUUAAUUCUUAAAUGGAUUCUACCUUAAGCUUCCCUUGAAAUGUCAAUGUAUUAUUUAUAUCCAAUGUUGAUAUCUACAAAUCAAUUUCUUGGUGGAAAUUUUGCAAUCUAAAAUGAAAUUUGAUACUAAACGACCCAAAUGAUUUGGAAAAAUGACUUUUAUCAACUAGGGAAACCAAACUGGAACCAAAAAUCAGAUAGCUAUAUAGUUCUAUAGGCUCUUUUUAUCCGUGUUGUUUUAUGGUAAUUAAUUUUGACAUAUUCAGCAUCAUUAGACAGAGUUAUGAUUUUCAACAAAUCAUUUUGAAUCACUAUCUGCACUCCAUGCUAGUUUUGGAUUCUAUGCAGUUCUGCUAUCUCUAGCUAGUUGCGUUACUAGCUACAAUCGCUGCUGGUGAAAUGGGUAUGUGGAUAUUUGACUGCAUGCUUAUGUGAUUUGCUGUCAAGUGAUGCAACUAAAAAUAUGUUUAGUUUUGAAUUUGUGCUCAUACAUGGAUAAAAACUUGUUAAAAACUGAAAGUGUUUUGGAUAAGGGUUAGGAAAGAAGGCCAGAUAUGGAGCUCACAAUCAAUAAGCUCCCAAGAUCAAGAUAAAGAAAACUUCAAGAAAAUGAGAAGGAAGAUGACCAAAAUUUUAUCUUUUCCACUGUUGUUCAAAAAUGGUAAAAGAAAUACGGAUAUAGGGAAGAGAAUAGAGGGGGCACUGGAUAGGACGCUGAUGGUUCUUUUUUUCCUUUGCCUUAUGUUCUUUCAUUAUUUUUCCUCCAUCUUCUUUGUAUCCUUUUCUUUCUAUUUCCUUUCCUUUUCUUCCUUCUCUCCUUCUUCUUUUCCUCCAUUUUCUCCUAAUGUGUAAAGGCAGCUGGUCCUUCCUAUUGAUCCGUGAAUCAUAGAAGGGUUGGUCCCUCUUUUUUUUUUUUUUUGGUUAUAGAAGAGGUGGAUGGGUACAUCCAGCUACACCACUGCUGCUGUGGAUUAUUGGCUUGCUGAUCUUGAAGAAGGACCAAAUUAAAUAAAUUACAGAGCAUCCUAUCAUCUAAUAUCAAAUUUCAACUUUUCACUUAAGUUAAAACUCAUUAACACCGAGGAUAUUUAAGAAAGAGAUAGAGAAAAAAAAGGAAAUCCCACAGGCCAAAAGAGACAGAAAGUAAUGGUCAGUAUAGCCCCCCUAGGCUGUUUUUCUCCUCCUUUCAAUUCAGUUAUGCAAUAAACUAUCUUGAUAGUGUCGUGCAUUCAUCAUCGGUGUCAUUUUGUCCAAUCUGGACCCCACUAGUUUAGAAACAGCUAUAUAGGAACAAUCAUUUUGCUUAACAAAGUCUUAUAGGGGCCUCAAAGCACCAUAUUGUCAUUGGGAGGUUAAACAGCUUUAAGCAUUGUAAUUGUGAUGUUAUAAGCAUUCAAUUUAUAUUUGAGCACCAUAUCCCCUAUUGGCUGUUUAAGAAGUAUAAAGCAUUCAGGUCAGUUAAUUGCAUAUAGGAGAAUGCCAAUUAAUCGAAAGCUAUUUAUUUUCGUCAAAUAAUGGGAUCAUGAAUUAUGAUUUCUCAAUCAAUAUGGGUUCGCAGGGGCUUAUUAGGAUAAAAUAUAUUUGAUGGAAGUACUCAAUAAUUUGAAAUGAUAUAUUUGAAGUAGAAUAAAAUUUGAUUGAUGAUGAUGAUGAUAAAAGCUGUACUUAAUAGCGUAAUGAAUGACCAGAUGCAUUCAUGUGGUGUGAAAGCUUCCAAGGCUCAAUUGUUUCCUCUUUAACACCAUGAAAAGCUAAAUGAAUGUCUAGUGGGGCUUGCAUAUGUGUAAGCCACACAUGUAUUAUAUAGAGUCAGAUUUGCAUUAAGCAUUAGUUCUAUAUUAAAGCAAAAUUAACCAGAUCAUAGAUAAACAUGAACUUGUUGUAUUAUAUACUAGGUCAUCACUUGAAGGUUAUGCACAAUAAAUAAAAGUUAGUCCCAUGUUUUUCUUCCCUUCUGCAAUUAGUUUGGCAAUGAUUACUGAAACAAGUAAAUUAAACUUGCUGAUGUUUGAUUGUCAGUACUUCAAAGGGAAUGGACUUUUGUGGUAUUUUCAGCUGACAUCUGCUUUUUGAUAGUAAGAAUGGUCAGCAUUUGGAAAUAAAAUGGAUUGAGAGCUUGAGCUAGUACAUUGGUCAUAUUUCUCAUGAAGAUAUUGUUAUCAUCUUUCAUUGAUAGUUAUCACACUUUUCUUUCCGUCGAUUUUCCUUUAUUAUAGUUGAUAUUGCUCUUUGAUGGGAGAGACUAGUAUCAUUGUUUUAGUAGUUGAUAUUUGAUCAAUCUACAAAAUCUUACACCUUGCAAUUCGUUAUAGGCUUAUGUGCCAGUUGCAAUGCAGGUUUGUGUGGUUUAGGAUGUAGGUGAACUUCCUAAUUCUCAUUAGCAAUCUCGUCUAAGUUUCAUUUACCUGAAAAUGCAUAAUAAUAAAUUUAACUUAUGAAGUGGCUUUGAAGGAAAGAUGCUCCAGAAAGGGAACUUCCUCUCCAAAGUCAAAUUAAUUUCCUCCUUGUGGGUUAUAAAUGCAGUCCAAGAUAGGGCAUUGUGUUUAAUGUUUAGCGAUGUGAAGGAUAUUAAAAAAAAAAAAAAAAGAAACAAGGGAGACAUUUAUAUGAGGCUUCAGGGGAGAAUGAAAAGGCGAUGCACGUCCAGCGAGGGGGGACUGUAGAGAGAGUGUGGGAGAUUGAGUGUGUUCUCUUUUUGCAAUGGGAAUUAUGAUACUAGCAUAAGAGGGUGCGUCUGGCUAAAGGGAUUAACUGUAGAGGGAGUGUAGGGGAUUCAGUGGGUGCUCCUUUGCCAUGCGUGUUGUGAUACUAGGAUAAGAGGGUGCCUCUAGCUGAAGGGAUUAGUUAAGCACCAUGGAUGAGGAAAGCACUCAUAUGAGCCAUGAUAUUUAACAGGACUGUUUCCCUUUUAAAUUUUAUUAUUUUUUGUCCUCCAGUAUUGGUAACCUGAAUGAAUGUAACAUUUUUGAAUUUCUGCUUAGUUUGGUUGAUUCUUUUGUAAGAUCUGCUUAGCAGGAAGCAUCAGUAUGACCACAUGGUUUACCUUAUUAAGUUCUUUACCUCCAAUUGCAGUAUAAGUUUUACAGUACAUUUGAUUAAGAUUGCUCCCUUUAUUGUAGCACUAGCAUUGGUCACAUGUGAUGCAUGUGAGGACCAACAUGGAUGACUAAUAUCAAAGAUUAAGAUAUUUUAAGUUCUGUCAGACGAUACAUGCACUCCUAGUUUUACUUCUCUACUUUUCUCUUUUAAGUAAAGAGGGAAGGGAAAGAGUGAAGCCAAGAUGAGUGUGUUUUGUAAAAUUGUAUAUUUUCAAUACCUGUAGACAGUUGAACGCUUUGUUAGUCAGAUGGACUCAUGCAUCAAGAGUUUGCUUUAUAUUUGACAAUAAACUAUCUUAAUUCAAUUGGACACUCAGAACGAGUAAGGUUCUUAUAUAAUUUCUCUUAUUCUAGCUGCUGAACGCAAUCUGCUUGUUUAUUACACUAAUUCCUGUAUUAUGAGGUGAUUGGCUGAGAGUUGUUCCAGGAGAAGCAUGGAUAUUUGAUGCUUGUUUGAGAUCCUGCUCAGAUAUUAUUUAUGGAUCUUAAUUCUGCCUGCCUCUUGCGCUGCUUGACUUCCAGCUUAUUGGUGGAAAUUGAUGGUGUAGAAGAUGAAUUUUUUGGUCUCAAGAAAAUGGGAAUAUUAGAGAGGAUUGAGGGAGUACAGUUGAUUGAGAACUAUAUCUGCUUGCGAACGGACACAAUAACAGAAAACAAUGAGGGCGGUGUCCUUAGCUGAUGAUCCAAGGGCAUCCAUCAAGUUUUAAAACUCCAUACUUCUUGAAAAAUAAAAAAAUUUCAAUCUUUCUAUUAAGAAAUAUGCACGUAGCGCAUAGGCACUUUAUGCAAUUAUAUAUCUGUGUUGUGACUACCUUGAUUUCUUUGAUUCUUUACCUUCCUUAGUUUGAACCAUUUUUUCCUACAUGAUCUGUUGUGGUCCAUCUGAUAUUUAUUGUCAGACCUUGUGGAUUUUUCCUUUUAUGAACAGUUGAAAUCUGACUCCAUGCAGUUCAGCGCUAUGCAGUCAGAUUAUUUAGCCAGUAGUAUAGACUGUUAUAUGAAAUUAAUGCUGAGAAUUGUUUAAUCCCCCUGCCCCCAUAUACUUUUGGUGGAAUGAAGCACUGAUAUUCUUUUCAUAUAUUUACUCUGAGCAGCAACCACGACCGAUUGCUUGUUCAUCUUGCGAAUCAAAUGGCUACAUCGAAUGCAAAUGGUGUGGAGGUACAGGUUUCUUCAUCCUGGGCAACAACAUGCUGUGCGAAGUGCCUUCAAGAAAUACCACCUGUGUUAUAUGUGCGGGGAAGGUGAUGAAGUGUAGUGACUUUGAGAACCUUCACAUUUUUGUGCCCAAUAUCACAUUAAUAGACUUGAUUUUGUUUUCAUCUAGGGUUCUGCUUGCUGUCCUGAUUGCAAAGGCACCGGCUUCCGUGCCAAAUGGUUGGGAGAACCUCUGUCACCCCAAUAAUAACUCCGGCAUGGCAACUCGGAGGAUCUGCUGACUGCAAAGAACAAGUUUAUUUUUUCUAAGUAAGCUUGUGAGAGUCAUCAACAUGUGACGACUGUGUUCUUAUAGGCUGGAAAUCUUGUUAAUCAUACAACUUCAAUGGUGAUGGUAGGAAUAUGUUUAUUCCUUUAUAUUUUCGAAUUCUUGUUCCGAGUUAAUGUGGAGACAGCACUUACGUUACUCAAGAUGUUGAAUUGACAAUGCCUAACGUCUUUCUUUCUUCUUCUUCUUUUUUUUUUUGGUGGUUGUGGGGAGGAGGGUUGGGUGCAAGAGGUUCUAAUUUCUAAUGUAAUCUUAACCCAGUUCAGCCUCCUAACAAGGCCCGACCUUCUCAAGGCUUAAGACUCGAAGGCUAUUCGGAGAUGGUGAAAUUCUUCUUGCACCGCCGGUGGUGUCGAAAAUUCGAUGUGAAGUAUACCAUCUCAUUCGAUCGGUCCAUGUAGUCAUUAUUUUUCAACGCUCAUUUAAUAUUUGUAGAUUGAUUUUUUUAUUUAAAAAUUAUGUAUAGCAAAAAUAUUUCUAUCUUUUAAAAAAAUUAUGACAUUCUAUAUCCAUAUUAUGACAUCCUGCUUCCAUAAUACGUACAUGAUGUAAUAAUUUUUUUUAAAGAAUAGGGAUAUUUUUGUUAUUCAAAAUUUUUAAACUAAAAAAUCAAUCUGUAAAUAUUAAAUGCACAUUGGAAGUGGUUGGACAUAAAUAUAUCUCUCAUAUUAUGAUAUUUUAUGUCAUAUUAUGACAUUUUGGGUUGUAUUACGUCACAGAAUAUUAUAAUUUUUUUUAAAAGAUGGAGGUAUUUUCAUCAUAUAAAAUUUUUAAACGAAAAAGUCGAUCUGCAGGUAUUAAAUGUGCUUUGAAAAGUUGUAACUAUAUGGACCAAUCGAAUGAGAUGGUGCACUUCAUAUCGGAUUUUUUACACUGCCUGUGGUGCAUAAAGAAUUUCUCUUCGAAGAUGUUCGAUAGAGCUUGUCAAAGCUCAAGAGUCGAGGUUUAUUUGGAGACAUCUGAUGGACACUUUAGAAGCCUCGAGUAAAAAGAGAGUGGAUUUAGGGAGGUGAGCACCCCAGCCUCUUGCAUGAGCACAAGGUGUGCUCGGAUGGUUUAGAUGGGAAGGCAAAAGUAUGAUUAACUUCAGGCUAAAAUCCUAUUUAGGAUUGCUAUCGGGAGUAGAAUUUUGAAAAUUUUUAAAAAUAAAAUUUUUGAUAAAUAGAUAUUUGGAAGUAGAGCUUUAUCAAAAGGUUAUUUGUUAUUUAGUAAUUAUAUUUUUAAAAUGUAGUGGAAGAUGACAAAAUGCUUUUCAUAUGACAAAAUGACUCUAAAUGACAUUAUAUUAUGGUUCUAUUUAGGAUUACUAUUAGCAGUAGAACUUUUAGAGUUUUUGAAAAUAGAGUUUUUGAGAAGUAGAGCUUUUAAAAAUAAAAUUUUUAUAAAAAUCUAUUUGCUGAUUGGUAACCAUAUUUAUAUAAUGCUUUGGAACUUUAUCAUAUAUUUGGUAACUAAAAUAAAAAAAAUAUUUUUGAUAUGAUAAAAUGAUAAUAAAAGCAUUACAUAGUAUUAUACAGUAAAAAAUAAUAUAAUAUAAUAUAUUAAAAUAUUAUUAUACUAUAUAAUAUAAUGUAAUAAUAUAAUAUAAUAUAAAAUAUAAUAUAAUAUAUUAUAUUAUUAUAAUAUAAUUAUAUUAUAUUAUUAUUAAAAUAUUAUUAUGUUAUAUUAUAUUAUUAUAAUAUUAUAAUAGAUUAUAUCAUAUGUCUAUAACAUAAAUAUUAUUAUAUUUUAAAAUAUUAUUUUAUUGUAUAAUAUUAUUAAUAUAUAAUAUAAUAUAAUAUAUUAGAUUAUAAUCUAAUCUAAUAAUAAAUUAUAAUAUAAUAGAUUAUAUUACAAUAUUAUAAUAUUAUAAUAGAUUAUAUUAUAUAUCUAUAACAUAAAUAUUAUUACAUUUUAAAGUAUUAUUUUAUUGUAUAAUAUUAUGAUCAUAUAUGUAAUAUAAUAUAAUAUACACUAUAAUAUAAUAUUAUUAUAAUUAUGAUAUAAUAUAUAAUGUAAUAUAAUAUAAUGAAUUAUAAUAUAAUUUAAUAAUAAAUUAUAAUAUAACAAAUUAUAUUAUAUUAUUAUAAUGUAAUAAUAGUAUACUAUUAAUAAAUAUUAUUAUAUCAAAUUAUACUUUAUAAUAUAAUAAUACUAUAACAGAUUGUAUUAUAUAUUUAUAAUAUAUUAUAAUAUUAAUUUAUUAUUAUAUUAUAUUAUAUUUAUAGUAUAAUAAUAUAAUAUGAUUAAUUAUGAUCAAAUUUGUUAGUGGAUAUUUUUAUUAUUAAAAAAAAUUAUCUAAAUCAAAACAGUUUUUCAAUAUUAGCUAGAAAAUACUUUUGGAGAAAGCUUCAAAAUAGAGCUUUCUCCAAAUAGAUCUUUUCAGCUUGCUGACAAAGUCAAAGCAGCUUUUUGAUUUUUUAUCAAACAUUACUGUAUCACUCUAAAGUACUUUUUGAGGAUCAAAAAAUAUUUUAUGGUAUUCUAAAAGCUUAGCCAAACAGGACCAUAAUAUAUUAUAAUAGAGUGUAAUGCAAUAUAGUAUUAUAUGUAUUGCAUAGUAAAAUAUUAUUUAUAGUAUAAUAUUAUUUGUAAUGUAAUAUAUUGUGAUAUAUUUUUGCAAUAUAAUAUAAUAUUAUUAUCAUAUACUAAUGUAAUUUGUAUACAAUAGGAUAAUAAUAUAACAAAAUAUGAUAUAGUAUUGCACGUUUUUGCAUAGCAUAAUAUUAUUAUAAUGUAACAUAAUAAUAUCAUAUAAUAAUAAUACUAACAAUAAUAUUACAUAGUAUUAAUAUAAUAUAAUAUAAUGGAAUAUAUUAUUAUAAUAUAAUGAAAUAUAAUAUAAUUUUUUACUGUACAAUAUAGUAUAAUAAAUUUUGAUAUGAUGUGGGGGUAUAGCAUAUUGAUAAUAAGAUUUUUUACAUGUAUAUCCUUUCAAAUAUUUAAAUUUAUAUAAAUAUUUUUUUAAAAUUAAUAUCUGUAUGUAUAUCCUCAUAAUAUAUUUUUUUUACAUAUAUAUUCAUAUCAUCUAAUACCGUUAAAAAUUAAUGAUUUAAAAUUAAAAUAACUAAAAUAUCUUCAUGGAUAGAUGUAUAAAAUUUUUUUUAUUAAGAUAUAUAUGUAAAUAGUAAUUUUAUGAGGAUAUUCAUGCAAAUAUAAAUAUUUAGAAGGGUAUACAUGCAAUAAAUCUUUAACUUAAAUACACCUCUCUUGGAUUGUUAAUUUUUUUCUUAUUCUAAUAAAAAAAUUAAUAUAUAUAACUAAAAUAAUAAAUUUAUUUAAUUUAUUAAUUUAUAUAAAUAAAAUAAUCUUUUUAUUGAAUAAUAGAUCAAAAUUAUCUUAUCUAAAAAAUAACCAGAUCAUAACUAUCUAUAUUUCCUCUAGUAUAUAAUAAUAUGUUUCUAAAAAAAAUAUCUAAACUUGAUAUUAGAUGAAUAGCUUGUACAUUUACAUAGAGUGAACAUAGUUGUGGAUUUAGACAUUAUGUAAUAAUAAAAAUUUAUAAUCUUAUUAUAUUUUAUUUUAAAAUUUUUUAUUAAAAAUAUCUUUGUGAAGUAUAUAAGGUAUAUCAUGUUGUUAUAAAAUAGAUAUAUCAUUCCCAUCUUGCAUAAAAAUAAAAUAUAAUAUAGUAUCCUAAUAUAUAAAAUAUUAUAUAAUAUCAUCAUCGUGUUGUUAUAUUAUGUAAUAUAUUACUACAUUGUAGAGCAAGAGGGUCUGAAUCUAUCUAGAUGAAAUAGAUAAAAAUUAAAUUAAAAUUUUUUACAUGUAUAUCCUUCUAAAUAUUCAAAUUUAUAUGAAUAUCCUUAUGAAAUUGCUAUUUAUAUAUAUAUCCUUAUAAAUUUUUUUUUGCACAUCUAUCCAUUAGAAUAUUUUAGUCAUUUAAAUUUUAAAUCAUUAAUUUUUUAACGGCAUUAAAUGGCAUAGGUACAUAUAUAAAAAAUAAAAAAAAAGAUACACAUGCAAAACAAGUAUUUUAUAAAGGUAUACAUAUAAAUAUCAAUUUUGACAGAAUAUUCACGUAAAUUUGAAUAUUGAGGAGGAUAUAUAUGCAAAAAAUCUUUGAUAGUAUCAUAAUAUACAUGAUGUGAUAUGAUAUAACAUAAUAUUAUAUAAAGUAUAUAUUUGUUUGUGGGCAUUUUGGUCACCAUAAAAAUCUUAUUGGAGCUAAAACAUCCUGACAUUUAUAAAAAGUACUUUGGGGAAGAAGCUCUAAAAUAGAGCUCCUCCCAAGUAGAUCUUUUUAGCUGAUUGGUGAAAAUAAAACUGCUUCUAAAUGUUUACUAAACACCAUUAUACUAUCUAAAAAAGCUUUGGGAGGGUUAGAAAGUGCUUUCUAGCUUUUCCAAAGCUUUGCCAAAUGGGGCUUAAGAGCUUAAGUGUUUGCUGAGUUUAUUGCUUUGGAAAAUAACACAGGUUAGUUGGAUGGUUUUAGAGCAUCUUAGUGGCCAUACUUUUUGAAGAACUCAUCUAUUUCUGUGCAGGAAAACACAAUUGCUACCCUUCAAACACCUACUAUUGUAAGGGCGAACCUGAUGAAUUGGUUACUAUUGGAAAAAAUUUCGUACAAACCGAUGAUAUGAAGAAGUCCAAGGCCCAAGAUGUCCUAGCCAAGAAGGCCCAUCUACUGGGCCUCGAUUGACCCAUCGUCGAUUGUGGCCUUCAUCGUUCUAUCACCGACUAGUUCUCGACUUCCUCCCUAUCGGUAUCCCACAGUCUGAGUAGAUAAAGACUCGUCGACUGACACUUAGUAACACUCCCCCAGAACCAUCGAUGGUUAGACUGAAGGGUUAUCAACACACUUGAAUGAUUGACUCAGUCUGAUCAGAUAACGAUUUUUGAUCAAUUGCAUCUGACCGACCAACUUUCCACUGCUGAGUAGAUCCCAACUGAAAAAUUUUUCACCUGAGGAUGGCACAAAAUGACCGACUCUUAAUCGCGACUAAACAACCCUCGAUCCACUGACAUCAGUUGACGCACUAGUUCAAAAUUCAAUGCUUGCCAGGUGAUAGCUGUCACAAGGUGGAUAUGGCAACAACAACCACUAUAUCUUGAGAGUCUUGAAUGAUAAUUCUGUCACUGUAAACAAAUUAUGCCCUAGCCAGAUGGGGUCGUGCCAACUGACUUAUCAACUAAAACUCUCGCCUCUGUCCAUAAACGGAGGCCCAAAUGGGAUCCUAAAAAAAUGUACGCCGUUACUCUGUCUCUCACACUUCUCCAUCUGUUGAAUAAGAGUUUUGACUUAAGCGUCGGAGAGUCCCCAUCGGAGCAACCUUCAGUCAUAACUUUUUUAUAGGUCAUGCCCUUGAGAAACCCAAUCUUGCCACCUGCUCUAAUAUCCCAAUGCCUUGUGAAAUCUUGUACCAAUAGAUUGGUACUAGAGGAAAGACCCAUGAACCAUGCCACCUAAGAGAGUUUUAUUCCACCAUACCAAUGCCACCGCCUCUCGACCGAUGGAGAACCAUGCUAAUAAUCGGGUACAGUCGCCAAUGGCAGAAACUCCCCCGCCUUCUCAACCGGCAUUGAUUAUGGUAGAUAAGUUCAACCUACUCUUUCAGUAGGUCUAGAAUCUGACGGCCACUGUCUAGACGAUCCAGACCGUUCCUGUACCUCCACAGGCAGCGCUGUGACCUAAUUAGGCCAUUCCUGCACCUCUCUUGGUAGCACUACCACUGAAUUUGGCUUUGCAGCCGCCAUCGCCAACCGCAAGCCCCUCUGCAAGGUCUGGAGAGGAGACAAACCUGCCAAAGCCGUCCUAGAACUCUAGAACCAAGAAGGCGGCAAUCUCCGAGCUCCCGAUCAGGGCAUGAUUAAACACUUGGUCGGCGAUCUCUUCAGCACUCUGAGACCUAUACUGCCCGAGAGACCCCACACUCAAGCGAUGACUUCGAAAGAUUGAUCAACGGAUUGAUGCGAUCUGUAAAACUUCCUCGAUGCCUUAUGAUGGGUUAAUAAUGACCCACCUUUUAAUUCGAGGAUCAUGCAAGAGUCAUUUUCUGGAUACUUCAAGGCUCCGCAAUUGGAAAGCUACGAUGGGACUGCCGACUCUGUCGAUCACCUUGAGACCUUCAAGAUGGUGAUGCUUCUCCAUGGAGCCACCGAUGCUAUCUUUUAUUGAGCCUUCUCCUUAAUUCUAAAGGAGGCGGUCCAAUAUUGGUAUUUCAGUUUGAAACCGAUCUUGAUCCAUUUCUUCAAGUAGUUGAGCCAGUCUUUCGUCAGCCAUUUUGUUAGUAGCUGAUGCCAGCAGAAACGAUCCGACUAUCUCUAUAUUAUUAAGCAAAAGGAGGAUGAGUUGAUCCUAACUUUUGUUGACUGUUUUAAUGCGGUCACUCUAGAAGUUCGUGACCUAGAUCAAUCAGUCGUGAUGUCCAAAAUGAUGAGUGAACUUCUGAAGAAUGACCUCAAGAGAUCACUAGUAAAGAUGUAUCCUGAGGACUAUCUUGAUAUGCUAAUUCAGACGGAGAAGUAUGCCCGCAUGGAGGAGGUCUUCAUCGAAGAUGAAGCUCCCACUAGUUCUAUUAUGAGGAAAAGCAGAAUAAGGAGCACUCUCCGAGAUGGAAGAGAAUUUGACAGUGCUCUAGGUCUCCAUCUCGAAAGUCGAAGAAUGGAAUCUCUCCUCGAAACCAUCAAUCUAGAAGCCCAUAAAGAAGAGAUCGGUGUGCCUCACCAUCGAGGAGGUAUAAUAAUUACACCCCACUCAAUGCUCCAAGGACUAAGGUGCUGAUGGAGAUCAGAAGACAACUCCUAAAGGCAAGGAGGUUGUGGACACCCCCUACUCAAAAGAAUCCUAAUAAAUACUGCUUGUACCAUUGAGAUCACGAUCACGAUAUGAAGGAGUAUAUCCAACUCCAAGAUGAAAUUGAAGAUUUGAUAAACACUUAAUUUAAGUCAUUUAAAGUAGAAAAUUAUAUUUAAUUUAUUUUAUUUAUUAAGAAUUUGAUGCUUCUUUUUAUGUUUUACAGGAAAGAUACUCGCCGAUACAAAGANNNNNNNNNNNNNNNNNNNNNNNNNNNNNNNNNNNNNNNNNNNNNNNNNNNNNNNNNNNNNNNNNNNNNNNNNNNNNNNNNNNNNNNNNNNNNNNNNNNNNNNNNNNNNNNNNNNNNNNNNNNNNNNNNNNNNNNNNNNNNNNNNNNNNNNNNNNNNNNNNNNNNNNNNNNNNNNNNNNNNNNNNNNNNNNNNNNNNNNNNNNNNNNNNNNNNNNNNNNNNNNNNNNNNNNNNNNNNNNNNNNNNNNNNNNNNNNNNNNNNNNNNNNNNNNNNNNNNNNNNNNNNNNNNNNNNNNNNNNNNNNNNNNNNNNNNNNNNNNNNNNNNNNNNNNNNNNNNNNNNNNNNNNNNNNNNNNNNNNNNNNNNNNNNNNNNNNNNNNNNNNNNNNNNNNNNNNNNNNNNNNNNNNNNNNNNNNNNNNNNNNNNNNNNNNNNNNNNNNNNNNNNNNNNNNNNNNNNNNNNNNNNNNNNNNNNNNNNNNNNNNNNNNNNNNNNNNNNNNNNNNNNNNNNNNNNNNNNNNNNNNNNNNNNNNNNNNNNNNNNNNNNNNNNNNNNNNNNNNNNNNNNNNNNNNNNNNNNNNNNNNNNNNNNNNNNNNNNNNNNNNNNNNNNNNNNNNNNNNNNNNNNNNNNNNNNNNNNNNNNNNNNNNNNNNNNNNNNNNNNNNNNNNNNNNNNNNNNNNNNNNNNNNNNNNNNNNNNNNNNNNNNNNNNNNNNNNNNNNNNNNNNNNNNNNNNNNNNNNNNNNNNNNNNNNNNNNNNNNNNNNNNNNNNNNNNNNNNNNNNNNNNNNNNNNNNNNNNNNNNNNNNNNNNNNNNNNNNNNNNNNNNNNNNNNNNNNNNNNNNNNNNNNNNNNNNNNNNNNNNNNNNNNNNNNNNNNNNNNNNNNNNNNNNNNNNNNNNNNNNNNNNNNNNNNNNNNNNNNNNNNNNNNNNNNNNNNNNNNNNNNNNNNNNNNNNNNNNNNNNNNNNNNNNNNNNNNNNNNNNNNNNNNNNNNNNNNNNNNNNNNNNNNNNNNNNNNNNNNNNNNNNNNNNNNNNNNNNNNNNNNNNNNNNNNNNNNNNNNNNNNNNNNNNNNNNNNNNNNNNNNNNNNNNNNNNNNNNNNNNNNNNNNNNNNNNNNNNNNNNNNNNNNNNNNNNNNNNNNNNNNNNNNNNNNNNNNNNNNNNNNNNNNNNNNNNNNNNNNNNNNNNNNNNNNNNNNNNNNNNNNNNNNNNNNNNNNNNNNNNNNNNNNNNNNNNNNNNNNNNNNNNNNNNNNNNNNNNNNNNNNNNNNNNNNNNNNNNNNNNNNNNNNNNNNNNNNNNNNNNNNNNNNNNNNNNNNNNNNNNNNNNNNNNNUGUCAGCAAACAGAAAAUUUAUCCAAGAAGGAUAUGAUGCCGCUGACCCCCAUUUUAGUAGUAGAAAUCUUCGAUGUUUGGGGGAUUGAUUUCAUGAGACCUUUUCCAACCUUAUUUGGAUUCGAAUAUAUUCUGGUAGCAGUUGAUUACGUAUCAAAAUGGGUGGAGGCAAUAGCUACACGGACUAAUGAUAAUAAAAUUAUAAUUAGUUUUAUCCAACGAAAUAUCAUUAGUCGAUUUGGCUUCCCAAGGGUGAUCAUUAGUAAUGGGGGGACUCAUUUUAUGAAUAAACAUUUUGAAGCACUUAUGAAAAAAUAUAAUAUUUCACACAAAGUGGCCACACCAUAUCACACCCAAACUAAUAGUCAGGUAGAGGUGUCAAAUAGGGAGAUUAAACAUAUCCUAGAAAAGACGAUUAGGCCCAAUAGAAAGAAUUGGUCUCUUCGCUUAGACGAUGCAUUAUGGGCUUACCGUACUGCUUUUAAAACACCCAUAGGAAUGUCUCUUUAUCGACUUGUAUUCGAAAAAGCUUGUCAUCUGCCGGUGGAAUUGGAACAUCGUGUAUUUUGGGCCAUACGGUAAUUUAACUUUGAUAUGAAAAAUACAGGUUCCAAUAGGAGACUCGAAUUAAAUGAACUUGAAGAGCUACGUAAUGAAGCGUAUGAGAGUGUCAAAAUUUAUAAGGCUCGAACUAAAGCAUACCACGAUAAAUUUAUUGCACGAAAAAUGUUCGAGUCCAAUCAAAAAGUUUGGCUCUUCAAUUCUAUGUUCCGUCUGUUUCCUGAAAAACUUCGCUCACAUUGAGACGGACCUUUCAUUGUAACUCAGGUAUUUCCUCAUGGAGCUAUAGAACUCAAAAAUCCUAAACAGGGGAACACUUUUAAAGUGAACGGUCAACGAUUGAAACCUUACAUAAUAAAAUUAGUGAUGGAGAAUUAAUUAAAUCUGUUGAUUUAAUGGAUCCAAAACUGCCAUAAUACUCAAUUCAGNNNNNNNNNNNNNNNNNNNNNNNNNNNNNNNNNNNNNNNNNNNNNNNNNNNNNNNNNNNNNNNNNNNNNNNNNNNNNNNNNNNNNNNNNNNNNNNNNNNNNNNNNNNNNNNNNNNNNNNNNNNNNNNNNNNNNNNNNNNNNNNNNNNNNNNNNNNNNNNNNNNNNNNNNNNNNNNNNNNNNNNNNNNNNNNNNNNNNNNNNNNUAGGCGCGCGUGAGCGCGUGGGCGUGCGGGUGAGCGUGGACGCGGGGUGGACGCGGCACGGACGCGGCGUGGGCGUGAGCGCGGGCACGGGUGCGGCAUCGUGCGGGUGUGGGUGCACGGCAGGCGGGUUCACAGGGAGUUUCUGAUGGCGGUCGAACAGAUGCUUAUUAAAGAAAAAAAAUUAAUAUUUAGAAAUAUUUUGAGAGGAAAGAUUUGUAUUUUCUUUACUCUCACAUCGAAAAAUCAUGUAAAACUCCUCCCUCCUAACACCUAUAAAAAGAUUUUUGUACUCCCAUUGGAGGGGGAGCCCAGAAAUUCUUCUAGAACCUUGCAUAGAGGAAUAAAAAGGGACUACUUCAUGAGCAGCUAGGCUAGCAGUCUCGGGGUGGAGAAAAAAUUUUGUAACGACACAGAGAUGGUUUAUUGUUCUAAACUUUUCUGUAUUUCUUUAUAUGCAAUAAAGAUUAUGCUUUUUAUUUAAAUCAUCAUGAGUUCUUUAUUUGUUCUCUUUCAUAUGCUUUUAUUUAUGCUUUAUUGUUAGAUUAAUAUUAGGAAUAACUUUUACUUUUCGGAGACACACCGUGAUCUACGGGUAUGGAGCGUACUGAGGAAAGAUAGGUAUUUUUUUUAAGAUUAAUCGCAUCUAUUUAAUUAAAAAAGAGACACAACUCUGCUAGUGCAAAAUUAAUUCAAAACUCCUGAGUUCUUUAUUUUCUAAUUACAUCAAUUUUAAGAUAAUUUAUUUUUUAAAUCAAAAAUAACGCUUCUUUCUUUUAUUUUGUAAUCUCAACUUAAUCCAAGGUCUCUGAGCAUACGAUCUCGACUCAUCCUACCUACGUAGUGAGUAGAGUUAUUUUUGGUGCUAUCAACGACUACACAUCAGGAUUUCAGCAGGUGUAGUCAUUUCGAUCGAUUUAUUCGAUAGAGAAGGGAGCAACAAAAAGAUCGAUGGAGAUCUCCUCAGCCGGCAGAGCAACAACAACAGGUCGAGCCGCAGGAUGACCGACCCCCAAUAGGUGUAAUAAACACUAUCACUGGGGGGCAUUAUAGCAGAGGGCUCGAUGGGGACAAAGAGGCGACGAAAAGAUAAAGAACUGAAGGAGCCUUUGAUUGGUUUUAAAUUAAAGACGAUCUUUAUUUGAUCUGACUAAAGGAGCUUUUGAUCAACUUUAAAUUAAAGAUGGUCUUUGUUCGGUCUGACUAAAGGAGUUUUUGAUCGAUUUUAAACUAAAAAUAGCCUUUAUUUGAUCCGACUGAAGGAGCCUUUGAUUGACUUUAAAUUAAAGAUGAUCUUUGUUCGACUUGACUGAAGGAGUCUUUGUUCGGCUUUAAAUGAAAUGGCUUAUGAUCGACCUAACAGAAAAAUAACUGGAGAUCAAAAAUUCUAUGCAUAAACACUACACUAGGAGAUGCGAAAUUUAUUUUUCACUAUUAAAUUUUUUUACAAAAAAUGAUGCUCCAAGCACCGUCAAAAAAAAAGAGAAGAGAAAGAGAAAAGAGAAAAAAGAUGAGGAGUUCAUUCCUUAUCUGAGGAGAGGGCCCCCACCUCCUCAUCGCUGUUGCUAGAGAGGAGGUAGCUAAGGUCCAGUUGCGGCAUCAUCUACCACAAAUAGACCUUACAGUCUUCGAACUUGAAGACAAAGAUGGUGGCGACGACAUCAGUGACCUCUUUUUUGAACACCAUCGAGGUCUUGAACUCCUUAAUAUAGUACUCACAGACUGCAUAGAGGAUCCACAUGAGGGAGAAAGAGGCGCUCUCAUCCCCAGUAGCCGACGGUGGCUUCUUCUUGGGCCCUAUAAAGGGAUAGAAAUCCAGCUCAACUGAGGAGCAGACGGCAUGCCAAAAGAGGCAGACUAGCCCGACUCCCCUUUCUUCACUUCUUGGAUAAGAGGGCCUUCUUGGUAGUGGUCCUCCUCUCCUUAACCGUCUCCUUAAUAGCUUUCUUAAAGGGCAUCAUGAUGGCAAAGUGGAUGGAGAGUUUUUGCAAGUACUGAGAGAGAAAGAAUGAAAGGUGAAGCUUUCACCAACCAUCAGUCCCUUUUUAUAGGCGCAAGCACCUCUAUCAAUCAUCAAUCGCUAGCUUUGAUUGUACAAUUAUUCUCUAGGCCAUAAAUGGCAUAUCUUCCCAACCUCAAAAAUUAAUCUGGACGAUGCUUCACAGACUGAUACACUACCACACGGUGUGUCCCCAUAAGUUUGGAGCAUCCUCUCAAAAUUUAUUCCGUCAGAAAGAAUAGCAACCGUUAUUCCCCAAGAUAAAUGCCCAAUCACGUUACAUUCGUCUUAAAUGUGUUAGGAUUUAUGAAGCACCGCCCAUAGUUAAUGCAAAGAGCGGUUGACAUGACAAGCAUCGAAGAUUUUUCAUCAAAAAUUUGAUAUGAAGUAGUCCAGCGAUGACGCCAGAUAGCAUCACAGAGCAAAAGAGAAUGUGACAUAAGAAGAUUUUAUUGCAUUUACACAAUCUUUAUGACUAUAGGAACGUCGUCACCCAGAAUAGAUGACAAAAGAAAUUGUUACAUGAAGUCAUGACUAGUCUUGGCCUUCGAAGCUUCAUCAGAAACCACCUCAUGGAUCUCUGCACUGUCAGGAUCGAGCUCGCAAAUCUCCACCCCUUGAGACCUGCAUCGAGGGCAGCAGACUCUGUGUUGCCUUCAGACAAGAAGCUAGAAAGAUCAAGUCCUGGGAAUGCUAUUUUGCUUUGAUUCCUACACAUCCAAAAGCUAGCCGUGUAAUCUGCAUCGAACAUAGGUUGGACUUUGUCAUUUGAAGAUGCGAGAUCGACUAGUACUUAUCCGACCAGGCUCUGAGACCUUAUGACCAUCGAUCGAUUUUUCCUCGAUCUGUAUUCGGCAAUCGUGUUCCUUGAAUGCUCAAGUCUGGAGAUCUUCUCUCGAGCAACAUGAAGUUCUUUUCAGAGCUGUGCCACAUAAUCGGCGAAGCGCCCCCUAGCUUCUUUGGCAGCAGUCUCUGACGACUCUAGUUCUGAAAUUCUUUCUUUAGCUGAGUGGACCUGACUGCGAAGGUGGAGUUGUUUAGCGGCACCACCUCAAGUGGCUUGGCGAGUCUCAAUAACUUCAUAGAUUCAGCGGCCAGAUAAGCCCUCUCCAUCGAAUAUGCCUUGUCAUUUUGGUGAAUGGCCGGCCGACCUUAACCGUAUGAUUUCCACUGAAAUCUCAUCGAGUGCUUUCUUGGUCUUUGACAGCUCCUUCUUUCGGAUGGCAGCUUUCUUAUUCAACUUCUUGACCAUCUUUUUCAGAUCACUUAUGGGAGCCCUAAUCCGCACAGUAGAAGCUGCCGGCAAAGGCUCAUCAGUGGAAACUGAAGGAAUAUAUAUAGCUACCGAGGAUGCACUAGCAUGACUGAACAAACAAAUGAAGAACAACAUGAAUUUAAAGAAGGCAUGAAAUCUCAUUUCAUUGAUGAAAGUUUUUUUUACAGGGGCCAAAGGAAAGAAAAAAUACAAGAUUUCUCAUUUUCUGAUCUUGUCUCGAGAGUCGGGAGGGCUCAGAGCAGUUGCUGAUAGAUCUGAGGAUGCUUUAGUUAAAAGGGGUUACCCCUAGAAUUGAAAUAUCGACAGCGAGCAGCAAAGAGACCCCCACUGCCAUCUUUUCGUUCUCGAGCGACCCCUCGAUGAUGAAAAACUCAAAAAGAAUUGGCUUCCUCUUCCCCCUCGUCCUCAUCUAAGAAGGAGAGAUCGGUCCCAGAGAGCCGAGCAGCAACUCGACGACGGCAAUCCUUGUAUCCGGUCUCAUGCCAUACAUUACAGUCCUGCUGACUAAACAUGACCUUGGCAUCAUGAAAGUCCUCCGACGCCUUGAAGCUCUCAACCGUCUGAGCCUUCUCCUGCACAAAAUCAGUCGAGGCCCAGAAACUCUCCACUGUCGAUCCACGGGCCUCAACAAUCUGCCCCUUGACCUCCCACUUGACAUCGACAACCCGAUCCUCAGCCAUCUUCUCAAACUUUGUAAUUUUAGCAGUGGCCUCUCGUAGCUCCUCUCUCCGAGUAAGGUCGGCAUUAGUCUUAUUCAGUGCCUCCUCAGAUGCUCAAUCUCCUCCUUGGUCUUCUUGAUCUGUGCAUGCACCUCCUUGGUGGUAGACUCAGUCUAUUGGUGCAGGUCCUUCAUCAUCUCUACUCUGUUUGUGUGGUUUAGGAGGAUGAUCAAAAAAUGGAGCAUUUGCACCUAAUCCAUGUCAAGGAAGAUGGUAAAGAAGAGAGAAAGAAUCAAAAAAUAAGAAAAUGAGCAAGGAAAGUACCUGAUGCAUGGGAGUCACGGAAUGUCACUGCAGGUUAUCAAAAUCUAUACUGUCGAUUCCCUCCAGCUCUGUGGGGAGGAUCGUCCUCUCAAUCAGCUCCCUAACAAUCCAUCAAUCAUCGAAAGUUGCAUUCUCAAGGAUCAAAGGGAGCCAAGUAUCCAUGUCGACCUGGUCUCCUAGGGGAGGCAGUCGGCUUGGGCCAGCCAUUGGAGAAGAUCGAGCCUCAUCUCUAAGCAGGGACAUGGGAGGAAUCAGAGUACGAGCCAUGAAGGGUGGAGAUGCCUACAUCUGAGUGGCAGAGAUGGGGGUCGCAGCCAUCGGUGGAGGGUCUGAGGGGACGUCGCUCGCCACUGCAGCGGCGGCCUCGACUAUUGAGGCCUGCUCAACCAAAGUUUCUUUCCAACUGAUCACAGUGAUGCUAGGCUUCUUGGAGAUGCCUUUUGAUGAUGGAGCCUUCCUCUUUUUUGGAAGGUACCUCUUUAUCUUGGCUAUAUCCUCAGGCCUCAUCUCUACAAUCAUCAAAAGAUGGUCAGAAAUAUAAAAUGAAAGAAAUGAGAAAAGAGGAUGAUUGCACUAUGCAUCCUUAGGGUUGGCUUGAUUAAGCCUCACGUUAUAGAGGGCUUCAUCGGACAACAACUCAUCGAUGGAGGGAACCCUAAAAUCUCUGAGGGUCUUAAAGCAAUCCUCUUCCUCAGCCUUCAAUUUUGAAACUCAGAAGGCGAAAGCUUCUAGCCAACCCAAGCUUGACAAGUCCCAAUCAUCUACUGAGGGGUUCAAAAUAAAAAGAAACCACUCCUUCCAUCCAUAAACAAAGGAAGGAGUAUCCUUUAUCAGAGGUGAGACCUCUCUCUGAGAAGAAAAGUACCAUCAAUCUUUGGCAUAUGGGUGCCUCUUGAUGGUGAAGAAGGAACAAAAAAGAGAGACAGAUAGCCAAACGUUGGCCAUAAUGCAGAUGACCAAAAAAUCCACUACAAAUCUAAGAAAAUUCAAGACAACUGCACAAUGAAAAAGGCCAUAAAAACAAAAGAUGUCAAAGAUAAGAGGGAGAAUAGAGAAUCUCAAGCCCACUCGGAGUGCUUCUUUAUACACAUCGAGCUGAUCAGGAGAUGGGUUAUCCAUCCGAUCACCAGUCCUAGGGAGUUCUAACUUGAACUCCGAGGGGACUCUAUACCAAUCUGUAUCAAACUCAGAUCAUUCGAACUUAGUAUAGAACCAAAAGCAUCAGACCCAACCUCGCUUCUUCUUCGAUCGGGUUCUCAGGAUUCACCAUCGGAGAGGAUCGAUCUCUCACAAAAUCGUCAGAACCCGCCAUCCAAAUCAAAAUGAAGAAGCCAAGAAAGUAGUAUGGAGAAAAAGGUAAGAAAGGAAGACAGAUGGGCAAGGAAGGAUGAACUAGAAAACCCACCUGACAAUAAGGACAAAUAGUGGAGGAAUAGGACGGCAAGAAAAUCCUUCCAAAAAAUUCUUCUGAGAGACUGCAGUGAAAAUGGUACGUUAUGACUCAGACAAAGAAAACAGAAAAAAGAGAGAGAAAAUGAAAGAUGUUAGGAACGAUCAAAGAGUCGAGAAUAGACUUGUCUCCUACUUACGAUCGAAAGAAAUAACCCCCAGGGAUAUCGAAUCGUCUCCUGUUAGACAACCUAUGGCAUAUGGUGCCUCCCAUUUAUCAGCCACAGCUGCCAAUUGGCUGAUAAGUACAUUAAACAUGUUAAUAAAAAUAUUAAUUUAUUAAUUAAUUUAUCUUUAUUUUUAAGAACUAAUACUUCUAUUAAUCUUUUGCAAGAAAGAUGGUUGUCAAUACAAAGAGCCCGAUUUGUAGGUUAAAAAAAAAUUAGAGCAAAUCAGACUUAAAAUGGAUCCAGAAUGAUGGUCCAAAAGCAAGCUACAAAAUGAGCUCAAUUUGAGUCCAAAAUCAAUUCAAACCAGCUUAAACCUAACCUAAUUAAACCGUUCAGUGUACGAUGGACCGACCGGUCAGUCCACAUCGCAAUCCACAGGAAUAGGGCCGGUCCAUGUCGUGGUCUAUAGGGUAGGGCGGCUUCUUCUACAUUGAUCGAUGCCUGAGAGAGGUCCCACACAUGAUCGGACGGUUAAGGGAUCUCUUAACUAUAUACUUCGGUGGUGGCCUACUUUCUUAGCACGAUCCAACGGCUGGUAGCGGGUUUCAAGCACGAUUGGAUGUCACGAUGGAAGCUGACUAUAAGAAGAAUUCUGGAGACUUUAUAAGCAUGAACGGAUGGAUGAGAUCAAAUCCAGGGAAAGAUCCAAUGGUCAGGAUUCAAGCUGACUUGAAUUUGGGCUAUUUUAAGGCUAAUUUCAGAUCGUUUGAUGCUGAUCAAAUGGCAGGCAUGGGUCUAGAAGUUUGACAAUGAUUAAGAGUUCGAUCUUAACUCAAAUUGAGCCUAGUUUUCGUCUAUAAAAUCAAGAGGCCAUGGAGAAUUUAGGGAGAAUGUGAGCAGCAAGAACACAGAUCUUUUAAUUUUCUUUUAUUCUCUUUUUAUUUUAAAACUUUUGUAAGGAAUUUUUGAGAGAAAAAAAGAGGGUGGUUGUCAGGAGUCUUCUUCAUUGUCUUCCUUCCAUGAAAAUGAUGCUUGCAGACACCAUGCACGGCUGAACUCUGAAUCUUCAAAAGAGUAGAUGAGGUUCUUUUAAUAUUUAUUUUUUAAUUUCUGUAUUAUGUAAUUAAAUCUUGAUUGUAAUGAUCUUUUCUUUUAUGAAUAAAAUUUCUCUGUCAUUCCUUCAAGUAUUGUGCUUCAUGUUUGAAAUAUAAUUUAGAUCUUUGAAUAGUCUAUGGCUACGUAGAGACUAGUCAUAUUUUAAGAGUACGAUUCAUGCUCAGCGAAAUAGACUAUGAUCGAGAUCUGAUUAUAGAAUAUUUUAUUUAUUUUUAUGAUUUGAUAUUUAGAAUAAUCUAUGACUACGUAGGGGCAGAUCGAGAUCUGUAUCCAUCGAGAUGGGUUAUGAUCGGAGAUCAAUCAUAGCUUUAAUAAUUACAUAAUAAAUAAUAAAUUUAUAUUUCAUAAAAAAGAAACUACAUCAAAAUUCUAGGACAUCUUUCUUAUUUGCUUGCUCAUUAAAUUAUAAUUUUAGUUUAAUUCAAACUUUUAUUUCUUUUUGACCAUAUUUCCACACUUUCAUAUUUUUAAUUUUAUGAUUUAAUCUUAAUUAAAAAUGAACAUAACCUCAUUGAUCCCUGUGGAUUCGAUCCUGACUCACUAUUAUCUAUAACAGCGAUCAUUGGCCAAAUCGAUGCCAUGCUACAAAAGAAAGAUUUCAAAUUGAUGUUCAUUUAACUCAGCUAUGAUGACUUGGGCAUGACACUUCACAUACGUCCCAAAAGUUGCACACAUCCCAUCAAUCAAAAAAUCUCUUCAUAUUCUUAGCUUAAGAAAGUAAGUGUACUCCCUUCAUCCGAUCAAAACUUAAACUCGAAAGUAGGAGACAUAUAUUGGAAGAAAUUUUAUACGGACCGAUGAUAUGAAGAAGCCCAAGGCCCAAGACAUCUCGAUCUAGUAGGCCCACUUGCUGAGCCUCCAUUGACCCAUUGUUGGUCGUGGCCUUCAUCAUUCUAUCACCGACUAGUCCUUAACUUCCUCCCUGUCCGUACCCCACAGCCUGAGCAGAUAAAGAUUCACAGACUGGUGCUUGGUAACACUCCCCCAGGACCAUCGACGGUUAGACUGAAGGAUCAUCGGCAUGUUAGAAUGAUUAACUUAAUCCAAUCAGAUAACGAUUUUUGACCGAUUGCAUCCGACCGACCAACUUUUCAUUGCUGAGUAGAUCCCAGCUCAGGAAUUCCCCACCUAACGACGGCACAGAAUGAGCGACUCCUGAUCACGACUGAACAACCUUCGAUCCACUGACACCAGUUAGUGUACUAGUUCAAAAUUCAAUGUCUGCCAAGUGACAACUAUUACAAAGUGGAUAAGGUAACUACAACUACCAUAUUCCGAAAGUCUCGAAUGACAAUUCCGUCACUACAUACAAAUUAUACUCUAACCGAACUAGAUCGUGCCAACUGACUUACCAACCAUAGCUCUCGCCUUUAUUGAUAAAAGGAGGCCCAAAGAAGAUAUUGAAAAAAGAUACGCCAUUACUCUGUCUCUCACGCUCUUCCAUUUAUUGAACAAAAAUUCUAAUUUGAACGUCGGAGGGUCUCCGCGGGAGCAACCUCUGGCCAAAAUUUUUUUGCAGGUCACACCCUCGAGAGACCCAAUCUCAUCGUGUGCUCUAGUGUCCCAAUACCCUGCGGAAUCUUAUACCAACAGUUACCUUCAACAGCAGCCCAGCAAUAAGAAAUUAGAACUCUCUUACGGAAAAAAUAAGAAAUUAGAACCCUGAUUUUUUGAAAUUUUAGAAAGCCAAGCAAUUUCUUAUACUCUUGUUGGAAGGCUUAAUUUCUAGACAUGGUAUGGAUCAGCUAACCAGAUAACUAAGAAACAAUAUCCUUAAAACAGUGAGGUUGGAAAUAGAAAGAGAUGAUCUCCUAAACUAGUCGAAAUUAUUCUAAUACCAACUGUACUUUUCUUGCAAGGUCGCAAUUCCAUGGCUGAUGAGAAAUUCGCUAUUUUGCAGACCCUGACAGGUGAAAUACUGGCACAUAGUCGCAAGCAUCUUUGUAGACUCGAACAUAUCAUCAAGCAUCAUGUUAAAACAGUCUUCAAAAAUUCUGCUUAAAAAAGAAGCAUUCAGGUUGUAAACUGUCUGAGAACACACCAAGAUCAAAAGGAAGUGAUCCAGCGUCGGAUUCUCUUGCCCUUUUUGUAGUCUGUUUUCAAAUUGUGAUGCGUAUAAGAAAAUAUAACAUUUUAAUUUGUAUGAAAUUGUGACGCAAGUUGUUAGGGCAUUUUAUUUUACAAGUAUUAUAGUCCCUCAAUAUUAAGGUUCCUUUCAAUGAUCCAAGUUUGAUUAUUUCAAUUGGAAAGACUCUUAUCUCUGCAAGUUCCUAGUUGCUUGUGAUAAUUAUCUUUGUAUAUUUGUAGCCUUUAUUCUUUUUGCACUUUGUAAGCUCUGUGCUGUAUUUUUUUUGGAUUUUUCACUUGAUAUAGAUGAGCAUGAGGCUUAAAACUAAUGAAAGUGUAGUCCACAUGCAAUCACAUGGUUUGACACAUUAUGAUGUGAAAUUUCUUUCUUUCUUGCUAGAAGAGGUUUAUAGACAAUGCCCUUUACAAUGGGUGCCAGCCCCCUCUAGCAUACCCCAAUCCCUUCCAAAUUGCAAGGUGAGAAGAAGCUAGAUUUCUUGGUAUUGUCACCCAAGUCACUAUCAGCUUGUUUAGCUGGCAACUUCAAAUGAACUGAAGUCUAUUAGCUCAUUAGACUCUCAUACGUCUUCUAAUAUUCUGUCAGAUAUAUUUAAAGUUUUCUCUUUAAAUGUAAAAUUAAUCGAUCAAUCGAAAAACUAGUUAAGAAAUACUCAGGCUAUUGUCAGCCAAAACUACUACUGCCUUUUUGCAUCACUUCCAACCCUCUAGCAAAGCAUCAUGGAGGCCAAAAAUAGUGUCUCCUGAAAUUCUCUUAUAUUAAUUCAAAGUGUAUAUAACAAAUUAUAAAAAAAUGCUUUUGUACUUAAAUAACAAUCUCACUAAUUUGGAAAGUGGAAAAUCAUCAUCUUUAGAUUGUCUACAACUUAUAUUUCAUACUUUAUGCUAUCCAUCAAACAAUCCCUUGCCAAUUUCUUUCUUCCAAAAAGAGGCUGCACUCCAAUACGCACCGCAUACAUCUUGUUGGCAUAAGUUUAGUAAUCUUUGCAGUUUGAAACACUCUCAAUAUGUCAAAGCACAUGAGAAUUGAAACUGAAUUGCUUUGUAAUUUUGUUGUAGUUCUUUUUUUUAACCCUUUCAACUGCUUAUCAAAUAUUCAUCUAGUCUUAUUACAAAAGAAUAUUCAUCUUUUAACCAUAUAAUACACGUACAGGUGACAAAUCUCUAGACAUCAAACAUUCAAUAAAUGACUUGAAUGGCAGAUCUGAAUGCAUAAGUACUAAUUUUAGCAUCAAAGAAAAAAGUGCUGUUGCAUGGGAUCAUUAAAGCAUAUUCCUUUUCAAAUCAUUACAUUCAUAGAGACAUAAAACUCUUUAGCAAUUGCUUGACUCGAAAAGGUAAAAAUUAAAACGUGGUUGCAUGUAGGCCACCCAACAUCCUCCUGCACCGUCCAAGCUACAUCUAAACAGGUAGUUAUCACAGUGAAACCAUCAUAGUAAAAUAGCUCAAAGAAAAAAACAAUAUUCUUGUGGUGGUUGCCAAGUAGACCAUUCCAAGCAUAUCAGAGUUAUCUCAGAUAACUAUCGGAAGACUCCAAAGAGCAACUCAACCCCAUGCAGUCAAAAGAAGGGGGGAAUGGAUUAGACUCGAAAGGAUAGAGUAGAGGCACGAGAAGCUGGGAGGGGGUUGGGAUUGAAAGAGAGAUUUGGUGAUGAGGAGGUCAAGUCCAUAAACGAGAGGCCUCAAAUCCCUUACCCUCCCAUACGCGCCUUCUCCCCGCCACCCCCUCUCUGUCUCUAUCUCUCUCCAAGUCUUAAGCCGAUGGGAGGAAGUAGACCCCUAAAUGAGAGGCCUCAAAUUCCUUACCCUCCCACACGUCCCCCCCUUCCCUCUCUCUCUCUCNNNNNNNNNNNNNNNNNNNNNNNNNNNNNNNNNNNNNNNNNNNNNNNNNNNNNNNNNNNNNNNNNNNNNNNNNNNNNNNNNNNNNNNNNNNNNNNNNNNNNNNNNNNNNNNNNNNNNNNNNNNNNNNNNNNNNNNNNNNNNNNNNNNNNNNNNNNNNNNNNNNNNNNNNNNNNNNNNNNNNNNNNNNNNNNNNNNNUCCCCUCCCUCCUCUCUCUCUCUCUCUCUCUCUCUCUCCAAGUAUUAAGCCGAUGGGAGGGAGUAGACCCAUAAAACCUUAUCCCCUAUCCUCUCUCCUCAUCACCUCUAUACCCUAUACCUUACCUUCACCUAUCUCUCUCCCACCACAUCCAAAAUCCAUUAUUCCAGUAUUCUCUCUUCUCUUCCCCUCUCUCACUUUCUCUCUUCUUCUACUUCUCUUUUGCUUUUUCUUUCCCAUUGCUUUCUUCUGAGAGAGCUUUCUCUCUUUCUCUCAUUCCAUCCUCCAUUUUGUACUAAUUAAAGCUCGUGCCUUUUCUUUUCUCUCCUCUAAUUAAUCACUCUAUCCAAUCCCAUGUAGCUCUACCAUCUAGAUGCACCUUAGAAGAAAUCUUAUAGCAUUUUGAAUUCAAAUAAUAAUCCUUAUAGAGAGAAGGGAGCUGGUUUUUGUUUUCUCUGAGUCUGACUCUGGUGCUUGAUGGCUCCCAAGGCUGGGAAAGCGAAGCCUCACAAGGCCAAGGGUGACAAGAAGAAAAAAGAAGAAAAAGGUCCCCUAAUCUCUUCUCUCUCUCUAUUUCUUUUUUUUUUUCCAAUUUAAUCUCUAUUUCUCUCUCCAAAUCUAAUCCAAGGAUUUAAAGAGAAUAUCAUGUGUGGAAACCUGCAGUGCUGCCGACCGUUAUCGACGUAAUCGUUGAGACCCCGGACUUCGCCCAGCUGACGCUCAAGGUAACGGGAAUAUAUUUUUUUUUGUUCACCCAUCUCUCAUUUUUCAGAACACAGUGCGCAAGCUAGCUUUGCGUGCGCCUGUGGAUGAAGAUAAGAUUAUGGGGUUCCUCAGCUCCAUCUGACUGCUGCGAGAUACGCAGGGGAUAUCGACAGAUAGCAUUUUGGACAUUCAUAAGCUUCUGGCCGUACACGUGGAUACGUGCCACCUCACCAACUUUUCCCUCUCCCACGAGGUAGGAAAUUCAAGCACGGUCGCCCUCAAAUAUUUCUUUAUGCGGAAAUGCGUCGGAACAAAAGUUUUGCGCUAGUAUGCAACAUUUAUAUUUGCGCAUUAUAUUUCUGGACCGACGAAAGCCACUCGGAUUCCAACGAAAAAAAAAAAACCCCAAAAAAACAGCUGGAUAUUAGGGGCUCACGUCCGCAGGUAUUUUCUAUGCGGAUUUACAUCUGCAUAGAAUUUCGUGCGCAGUUCCGCAUACGAGGUUGUAUAGUGGUGCAUUCCAUCAACGGAUGUCUGCUGUUAAAUGUCCGCAUAUAUUUUUCCGUGCGAUCUUAUUUCUGCAUAAAAAAUUAUGCGGAUGUCCGUAUAUAAGCUCGUAUUAACUCACUAUUAUCUAUUUUUCCCACUUGGCAUCGUCCCCGCUACCGCUCUAUAAAUAAAGAUCGGAUCCAGCCCGUCGGGUGCAUGUACUUGCUUUCUAACGUUCACCGGUUGUGUACUUUAACAGGUGCGUGGAGCCAGGUUGAAAGACACGGUGGACAUCGUCUCCCUCAAGCCCUGCCGUCUCAGCAUCGUCGAAGGUAACAUCAGCCGCAUUCCACUUAUAUACACCCGUCCACAUCAUUAAAAAAAAAAAAUUUCCUAAGGAGAGAACUGAUCAGAACCGUUCAUUUAAUGAUGGCGGACUUGACCGGCGUAUUGAUCGCUAAACUGUGGGAACUAUUUAAUGAUGUCCCUUUAUUCCGUUUCCCGAAAACAACUAAGGACAUUGGUUAUACGAAACGAACGGUUCUUGAUCAGUCCAAAGAACCGUAAGACUUCUGGCGCGCGCGCUACGCUUCUCGCGAGUUAUUUUACCGGGACUACGCGCUAAAUAACGCGUCCUCUCUUUUCUUGUAGAGGACUACACGGAGGAGCUCGCCCUCGCCCACGUCCGCCGCCUGCUCGACAUCGUCGCCUGCACCACCGCCUUCGGCGCGCCUGCGGCGAAGAAUGCUGGAUCGACGGCGGCGCCGACUGGAGGCGUUGGGAAGGGUGACUCGCGAUCUAGUGCUCCGCCGCAGCCCAGCAGCCCGCCGAAGGCGUCCGAGGCCUCCACCGAGUCCGAGACAGCCGAGUCCCCUCCGAAGUCGAAGACUGAGAAGCCAAGUUCCCCCUCCACCACCAGUACUGCCACCACCAGUCCCGGUGGGAAUCACAAGGAUGAGCUUAUGUACCCUCCGCCCAAGCUCGGCCAAUUCUACGACUUCUUCUCCUUCUCCCACCUCACGCCGCCGCUCCAAUGUUGGUUACACGCCUCUUUUUUCCUUUUAUUUCGCAGUUUUUGUCGCUUUUCAUGCAGAAAAUUUCGAUCUUGAAAUUGUUUUCUUCUUGUAAUUCGUUUCAGAUAUCAGGAGGUCAUCGCGACCGUUCUUGGACGACAAAAGGGAAGAUGACUUCUUUCAGAUUGAUGUGGGUUCAUUUUUUACUUCAAGAAAGAUGGGAUCGUGCAUUGGAAAUUUAACAAAUAAGCGUUAAAUUCCAAUUUUUCCGUUGACUUAAUUAACUAGUGGGAGUUGGGAAUUGAUGAGCAGGUAAGGAUUUGCAAUGGGAAGCCGGUGACGAUAGUGGCAUCGCAGAAAGGGUUCUACCCGGCUGGGAAAAGGGCUCUCCUCAGCCAUUCAUUGGUGGGUCUGUUGCAGCAAAUUAGCCGCCCCUUUGAUGGGGUAAGUAAAAUUUUAGAUCUUUCCUUCAUAUCCUACCUUCAUGAGCUCCCCCCUCUCCCUUCUUUUUGCAUAUAAAACGUUUUAUUUGAUCAAGAAUCCUUUGUAAUUGCAGGCGUACAAGUCCCUCAUGAAAGCUUUUAUUGAGCACAAUAAGGUGCGGUUUUACUACUUAUUCUUUGAACAAUCAAGGCAUGUUUGGUUGGGGGAGUUGGAUCAUAGAAUGAGAAUGGGAAUGAGUGACUCCUAGGUUGGGAGGAGUAUUAUUCCCAUUCCGAUUCUGGGGGGAAUGGGAAUGUCCCAAUCCCCUAAAUCCAAUCCCUAUUCUUCUUUAAUAUUUAAAUUUGAUUCUAAUUCUGGUCCCAAACCACACACGUCGGGGGAUAUGACCAUUUUGAUUCUCAUUCCAACCCAUUCCGUUUUGAUUACGAUUGCAGUCGCGAACCAAAUGCACCCUUUAAGUAUUUUCACUUUUGCACUCGCAGAUAAAGCCCCUCUGACAAUUGAAUAUUGAGUUAUAUUUUGUUGGUUCUGAUGGAGAUCAUGAAAUUAUGCCCGUCUUAUUAAUGUGUUCUCUUACAAAAUAUAUACUGAAAUAUCACUGAGUUCUUUCAGUCGUCGUUUCAUUGAAUUGAUAUUAUGGUAUGCCUUAUCAGUCUAAAUUAAAUUUUCACCAUUAAUCAAUCAAAUUUCCACAGGCUGUAUUCCUUGAGUAUUAGUGUUUUGCAAUUGACGUUGGAGGCAUUAUUUCUUUGUUACUUAAUCUACCAAGACCUUGAGCGAGCUUCUCUUCUGCUUUCUGAAGUUCACUAACGUGAUCAAGUUCUAUUUCUUGAUUCUUCUCUACAAGUCCUCCCACUGAAUAUCUCUCUUAGUCCUUCAUAGUUCACUUGGUUUCUUCAUAAACAAGAUAAUUGCUUUCUUCUGAUGUAGUAGAAAAUCAUUUGUUGGGGUAAACAAAAUAAAAUAAUUGCUUGUGAUUAGCAAUAAAAUUUAAUCUUUAGCCAAAUAAAAAACAUAUUGAUUCUUCCUUCAUGCCAUUAAUGAGAGUAAGCUGUCUUCUCAUAUUACCCUUUUUUCAAAACAUCUAAAUCUAGAAUUAACUGUAACAUGUUAUAUUUCUAUAUUUACUUUAUGGUCAGUUUGUAUUCACUUUUUUCCAGUUUGGGAAUCUCCCUUAUGGAUUCCGAGCAAACACAUGGGUGGUUCCUCCCAUCGUUGCAGAUUCUCCAUCAAUUUUUCCCCUUCUUCCAACAGAGGAUGAAACUUGGGGUGGAAAUGGUGGAGGUCAGGGAAGAGAUGGAAAGCAUGAUCAAAGGCAAUGGGCAAAGGAAUUUUCAAUGCUAGCUGCCAUGCCCUGCAAGACAGCUGAAGAGAGACAAAUUCGAGACAGGAAGGCCUUUCUUCUUCACAGCCUAUUUGUUGAUGUGGCUGUCCUCAAAGCUGUUGGAGCUAUUCAGCAACUUGUUGUCAGCCAUGAGCAUUUGAACACAAUGCCAAAUGGUCCUGCUGAUGCAAUUUUGCACCGGGAACAAAUUGGGGAUUUAAAAAUUACGGUUAUGAGAGAUAAAGCUGAUGCAAGUGCUAAGUUGGAUGCUAAAUUGGAUGGGAGUCAGACUCCAGGAAUGUCUUCUAAGGAGCUUGCUCAAAGAAAUUUACUAAAGGGAAUCAUUGCUGAUGAGAGUGCAACAGUUAAUGUAAGUAUUGCCUUUCCUAAAUAAAAUUACACCCCUGAUUUUUCUCAGGUGAUUCUUCUGUGUAACCAAUGGUAGGGUUGCUAGUUAUAUGCUGAAGAAAUAUGGUGACCUUGCAGGAUACUGCUACUCUUGGUGUAGUUGUUGUUAGACAUUGUGGAUAUACUGCCACUGUCCAGGUUCCAGUUGAGGCUGGCUUGGCUGGAAAUACUGUAACACAGUCAGACAUUGAUAUUGAAGAUCAGCCUGAGGGAGGUAGCAAUUCUUUAAAUGUCAAUAGGUAAUUCCAUGAGAGAAUUUGAUGUCUAUGUGGAAUAAACAUUUCUAAAUGGGUUGUUUGUAUUUGUUUUAUGUUAAUUUGGUUGUAUACAUAAGUGUUUCGUUUUAGGCUGUUUUGAUUGGUGAUCAACCUAUUGGUUGCUAAAUGGCAAGAUAAUAAUGGGAUAUUUCCUGUCUACCUUUCAGCUUGAGAAUGCUAUUGCACAAGUCAUCUGCUCAAUCAUGUGGUGGAGCCCAACACUUGCAAUGUAUGGAAAUUGAAGAUUUACAAUCUGCUGGGUCCUUCGUACGAAAAGUACUAGCAGAUAGUCUGAUGAAGUUGCAAGGAGAGGAAACAAAGCAGAGAAAGUCGAUCAGAUGGGAGCUUGGAGCAUGUUGGGUGCAACACUUACAGAACCAGGCUUCUGGGAAAGUUGAGUCUAAGAAAAGUGAGGACUCCAAAGUUGAGCCAACCGUAAAGGGUCUCGGGAAACAAUUUGGUCAGCUAAAAGAGAUUAAGAAGAAAAUAGAUGAUAAGGCUUGCAAGAUCGAUCUUGCAAAGGAAAACUCUGCGUAUAGUGGCGUCAAUGCAAACAAGACACAUGUGGCAGACAGUGCUAAUUCAAAGGAGAAAAGAGAAGUUAUGCUGCAGAACUUGCUUCCUGAAGCAGCAUUCUUACGCCUGAAAGAAUCUGAUACUGGUCUUCAUCUUAAGGUUUGCCCUGCUCCUCUAAUUAAUAUAAAUUCUGCUUGGACUGAAACAGCACUUAACUGGUUGAGCAAGUCAUCAGACCCAAUAAUUGAUUGCUUUUUUUCAUGUUUAUAUGUGUCAUUUCGUAUUCACAAAUUGAUUUUUGUUUGUUUAAUUUUGUCAUAUUUCUUUGUGCUCAAUCGUACUGUUGCUGUUGUACAUUUUGAUCAGCACUUGUCUGAAAUGCUUAGUUUGAGGAUUUGGCAUGUCACUAAAUCCAUUUACAUAUUUUUGCUACUACUAAUAAUUUAAUGAAUAUUGUGGGCACUUUGCUUCCUGGAAGUAAUCUUCUGUAUAGCUACCUUUCUGGUCUGUCAAUUCUGUCAAUUAAUGAUUUUGACACCAGAUGCAUGACACAAAGUGGAUCUGGACUUUACAAGUAUAUUAUCUAUUGUUAAAUAUAGUUGCAGGACUUAAUCUUUGUCUCAUUUAAUUGGUUUUGGCAGUCCCCCAAUGAGUUGAUUGAGAUGGCACAUAAGUAUUAUGAGGAUACUGCAUUACCAAAGUUGGUAAGCUUGGCUAGCUAUUCUUGCUGAUGUUUACCUUUAUGUGGGUUGGUAAUUUUGCAGCCAAAAGCCUUAACAUCAUGCUGCAUUAUUCCUCAGGUAGCAGAUUUUGGUUCACUUGAACUUUCUCCUGUUGAUGGGAGGACAUUGACAGAUUUUAUGCAUACCAGGGGUCUGCAGAUGUGUUCAUUAGGACGUGUGGUAAAUUUUUUAUUAUUUAUAUGUAAUGUUAAUGGCUUAUCAAAUACUAUCAAGCAAUUCAUUCCUGGCCAUCAUGUAUAAUACCAAUAGUAACCAAAAAAAAAAUUGCUGAAGCCUUUUUUCUUUCUAUGUUUUGCUGCCCUUCUUAUCAGGUUGAACUUGCCGACAAACUUCCUCAUGUACAGUCCCUUUGUAUACAUGAGAUGGUAGUUCGAGCAUUUAAGCAUAUACUGCAGGCAGUUAUUGCAGCAGUUGAUGAUAUAACUGGCAUGGCUGGAGCAGUGGCCUCAUGUCUGAACAUUUUGCUGGGAUCCUUGCGGGCAGAAAAUGUAGAUACAAACAUAGCUACUGAUGAUAAUCUGAAGCAAAAGUGGUUGGAAAUCUUUUUACUGAAGAGAUUUGGAUGGAAAUGGAAAGAUGAAAGUUGCCAUGAUUUGAGGAAGUAUGCUGUUCUACGGGGGCUUUGCCACAAGGUGGGUACCUAAGUUCUGUUGUUUACUUCAUUAGUAUUGUUUAGUCACCUAAGGUCCGAAACCUUUGUAAUUUUUAUCAUUGGUAAGCUGUAGUGGAACUUUCCCAAUGCAGGUGGGACUUGAGCUAAUUCCUAGAGACUAUGAUAUGGAUAGCCCAUAUCCUUUCAGGAGGUCAGAUAUCAUCAGCUUGGUUCCUGUAUACAAAGUAAGAACAUGCUUUAUUCACAGGAGACAAGUUUGACUUGAUUAUUAGCACCUGUGACAUUUGUUAUUUUGAAUGGCAGCAUGUCGCAUGUUCAUCUGCAGAUGGACGCACUCUGUUGGAAUCAUCAAAGACAUCCUUGGACAAAGGCAAACUAGAGGAUGCUGUUAACUAUGGUACCAAGGUAUAAAAACUAUUUUUUUCCCAUGCUUCCAUAAUGCUCCCCCCGCCCCUUCCAAAGAAAAAAGGAAACUAGGUUCUUUUUUCUCAUUAAAAAAAAUCCUAAUGUGAUCUUUUUAAUUUUUUUGAUCUUGAAGGCGCUUUCAAAACUUGUGGCAGUCUGUGGUCCUUACCACCGAAUGACAGCAGGAGCAUAUAGCCUUUUGGCUGUGGUGCUCUAUCAUACUGGUGAUUUUAACCAGGUACAUGCCUUCAAAUAUUGUUUAUUAGAGCCAUGAUCAAUAGUUUUUUCUAGUGAUGGUUAUCCUGCUGGUAUCUUAAACUGAAUAGCAAGUACAUCAAUUAGCCUUUUCGGUAGAAAGUUUCCAAAUCUCACUUGACUAUUGUUUUUAUAGAUGGGUUAAAAAUCAUCUGUGCUUACUAGAUUUAUGGUUGGAGAGACUGCAUGUAAUGUAGAGUGGAUAAUUCAAAGUAGAGAAACGAAUGAUGCAAAGACACAAGUGGACAGGUUGUUCCUCAGUCUCGAGGAAUGUAAGACUCGUCCCUUUCUGAGUAGUAAAAUAACAAAAGUAAGAACCAUGAAUGUUUUAGUACUGGUAGGCAGGAUUUGGAAGGAUUAAAUUAGAUAAUGGAGAGAAAUUCUUAUAGUGAAUAAUUUUACUGGGUUGCUAAUUAAAAUUUUUAAAUGCUGGUAAGGAGAAGCAGGGGCAAUAUGAUUGUAUAAGGGGAAGCAGGUAUUUGAGAAGGUCAUGAACAAAGAAUAAUAGAUGAUAUAAAACAGGAGAAAAAAAUCACUAGGCAAAGAGA